rnacentral:rRNA from 1 species
UACGGAGGGUGCGAGCGUUGUCCGGAAUCACUGGGCGUAAAGGGCGCGUAGGCGGCUCCGGCAGUCUGUGGUGAAAGCCCAGGGCUCAACUCUGGGUCGGCCACGGAUACUCCGGGGCUGGAGCACACUAGAGGCGGAUGGAAUUCCGGGUGUAGCGGUGGAAUGCGUAGAUAUCGUCUGGAACGCCGAAGGUGAAAACAGCUCGCUGGGGCUGCGCUGACGCUGAGACACGAAAGCCAGGGGAGCGAACGGG